rnacentral:rRNA from 1 species
AUACGGAGGAUGCGAGCGUUAUCAGGAUUUAUUGGGUUUAAAGGGUGCGUAGGCGGUCUGUUAAGCGUGAGGUGAAAGCUCGGGGCUCAACCCCGGAACUGCCUCGCGAACUGGCGGCCUUGAAUGUCCGAGCCGUGGGGGGAAUGUGUGGGGUAGCGGUAGAAAGCAUAGAGAUCCAACAGAACACCGAUUGCGAAGGCAUCUCACCAACGGAGGAUAGACGCUGAGGCACGAAAGCGUGGGGAUCAAACAGAAUUAGCUUCCCUGAUAGUCCACGCAGUAAACGAUGAUAACUAACCGCUGGUAAGUAAUUAUCAGUGGCCAAGCGAAAGCGAUAAGUUAUCCACCUGGGGAGUACGACCGCAAGGUUGAAACUCAAAGGAAUUGACGGGG